rnacentral:rRNA from 1 species
AUUGAACGCUGGCGGCAUGCUUUACACAUGCAAGUCGAACGGUAACAGGUUAAGCUGACGAGUGGCGAACGGGUGAGUAAUGCAUCGGAACGUGCCCGGUCGUGGGGGAUAACGCAGCGAAAGCUGCGCUAAUACCGCAUACGAUCUGAGGAUGAAAGCGGGGGACCGUAAGGCCUCGCGCGAUCGGAGCGGCCGAUGUCAGAUUAGGUAGUUGGUGGGGUAAAGGCUCACCAAGCCAACGAUCUGUAGCUGGUCUGAGAGGACGACCAGCCACACUGGGACUGGGACACGGCCCAGACUCCUACGGGAGGCAGCAGUGGGGAAUUUUGGACAAUGGGCGAAAGCCUGAUCCAGCAAUGCCGCGUGCAGGAAGAAGGCCUUCGGGUUGUAAACUGCUUUUGUACGGAGCGAAAAGGUCUCCUCUAAUACAGGGGGCUCAUGACGGUACCGUAAGAAUAAGCACCGGCUAACUACGUGCCAGCAGCCGCGGUAA